GCGUUCCGUUCCGUUCGCAAGGUCUGCGCCCCAGCCAUGGCCGCGCCCCCGGCGACGCUCCCCUCACCGCCGCCAACAAUAUCCAGCCGUUCUUCGUCCUCCACAAGGCAUCCGCGGCCGCCGCUUCGUCGGUGCCGUCCUCCCGGGCUCGGCGGCGGAUUGAUGCCUCGCUCCCAUCUUCCCCCAACCCCAAAUCCGCGAAGAGGACCCGUGAUGUUGACGCGCAGGAUGAGGAAGACUCGGAGCUGUGCGAGCGGUUCCGCCUGGAGGCCUUCCACCGAAUCUGGUCCAGGAUCCAGUCCACCAUCGAUGAGGUCCUCAGGGGCAUCAACCUCAAGCUGUUCGACCAGGUGCUGCAGUGGGCGCAGGAAUCAUUCUCUGCGAUCCAGAUGUGAGUGACAUGUUAAAUCUUUUAAGGUGUACUAUUAGUACUACUAGUCAGAGUGAUGAGAAUUAUGUGACCAUAGAUUAUAAUUAUGUGCUUGAGGCCAUGUGCAGAUGGAGCAAAGGUUGUGCAGGAGCAAGUGAUGAGAAUGGCUGGUCAUCACACAGGGAAGAAAGAUAAUUUGAUUUCUAAUUGAUCAUUGUUUAUGUCAAGUGAGGCUAGUACUCGCACUGCAAUAUUGUUUUCAUGAGCUUUUUUGUUUAUUUAUUUUAUCCUAAUGUGGUCUAGUAUAUCCUAAUUGGCAAUGGACUGCGUAUCAGUGCAUUUGAAUUGAGUUCAUGUAUGUGUUUUCCAUCUUUUGACAAGAUAUAGUAGUCUAAUUCAGGAUGGAUUUUGCACCAUAGGACUGUUAUUACUUGUGUAUAAUUGAUUUCAUAUAAUGGCCACUUGACAUUAAACGAAAGUUCAGAGGUUGUGAUAUGCAGCAGUAUGUGAUUGCAGGACAUUCAUGCUGAGGCUGCCAAGAAGAGGUGUCACACCAUUGUUUCAAUUCAUCUAGGUUGCAUUACUACAGAGCAAGCUGAGCGUGAAAACCUAUGUGCUCUAUUGUUGGUGUUGCAGAUCCUGUUGGAGUGUUGGUGCUCUGGAACAUUUGCUCCUUUGCUUCUGGAAUCAAAUUGCUACUUGUAUGAGGUGCUUCGAUUUUUGGUGCUGUAGGUGUUGCUGGUGUGUAUUUUGGGCUGUUCUAUCUCUUUUCAAUGUAAACAUGAGAUUGUAUCUCUUAUUUUGGGCUGCUAAAAUUUGAUAUGUAUUUUGGGCUGUAAUGAUCAUUUUGGUGUAUGGUAUGAGAAAUUGGAUUGAAUUG